rnacentral:rRNA from 1 species
GAUGAACGCUGGCGGCGUGCCUAAUACAUGCAAGUCGAGCGAACGGACGAGAAGCUUGCUUCUCUGAUGUUAGCGGCGGACGGGUGAGUAACACGUGGAUAACCUACCUAUAAGACUGGGAUAACUUCGGGAAACCGGAGCUAAUACCGGAUAAUAUUUUGAACCGCAUGGUUCAAAAGUGAAAGACGGUCUUGCUGUCACUUAUAGAUGGAUCCGCGCUGCAUUAGCUAGUUGGUAAGGUAACGGCUUACCAAGGCAACGAUGCAUAGCCGACCUGAGAGGGUGAUCGGCCACACUGGAACUGAGACACGGUCCAGACUCCUACGGGAGGCAGCAGUAGGGAAUCUUCCGCAAUGGGCGAAAGCCUGACGGAGCAACGCCGCGUGAGUGAUGAAGGUCUUCGGAUCGUAAAACUCUGUUAUUAGGGAAGAUCAUAUGUGUAAGUAACUGUGCACAUCUUGACGGUACCUAAUCAGAAAGCCGCGGCUAACUACGUG